CCUACGGGAGGCAGCAGUGAGGAAUAUUGGUCAAUGGACGAGAGUCUGAACCAGCCAAGUAGCGUGAAGGAUGACUGCCCUAUGGGUUGUAAACUUCUUUUAUCUGGGAAUAAAACGUUCCACGUGUGGGAUUUUGUAUGUACCAUAUGAAUAAGGAUCGGCUAACUCCGUGCCAGCAGCCGCGGUAAUACGGAGGAUCCGAGCGUUAUCCGGAUUUAUUGGGGUUAAAGGGAGCGUAGGUGGAUUGUUAAGUCAGUUGUGAAAGUUUGCGGCUCAACCGUAAAAUUGCAGUUGAAACUGGCAGUCUUGAGUACAGUAGAGGUGGGUGGAAUUCGUGGUGUAGCGGUGAAAUGCUUAGAUAUCACGAAGAACUCCGAUUGCGAAGGCAGUUCACUGGACUGCAACUGACACUGAGGCGCGAAAGUGUGGGUAUCAAACAGGAUUAGAUACCCGAGUAGUC
rnacentral:rRNA from 1 species